rnacentral:rRNA from 1 species
UACGUAGGGUGCGAGCGUUAAUCGGAAUUACUGGGCGUAAAGCGUGCGCAGGCGGUUUUGUAAGCCAGAUGUGAAAGCCCCGGGCUUAACCUGGGAAUGGCAUUUGGGACUGCAAGGCUAGAGUGUGGCAGAGGAGACUGGAAUUCCUGGUGUAGCAGUGAAAUGCGUAGAUAUCAGGAGGAACACCAGUGGCGAAGGCGACUUCCUGGCCUGUUCUUGACGCUGAGGCGCGAAAGCUAGGGGAGCAAACAGG